UCAGCUGCGGAGAAGACAGAAGAGAAGAAAGGAUGAAACCCUUGACACUAUUCACCUUCAACUUCAAUUACUCAUAACUUUCGAUGCAGAGCUUCGACUGACGAGUCAUUUGUGGUCACGCAUUCAUCUCGAAAUUCUCUUCAAUUCUAUCUAAACAUUUCGGAAAGCUCAAGUACAAUCUAAAGAGAGAUUUUGACCCGAUGCUGAGCGGUAAAAGUUGCUUGUUUGGAAUUGAUUUUGGCUUGGAUUGGUGCGAAGCUUUUGAAUUGGAGGAAAAUUUAUCAAGCUUGGAGGCUUGGAUUGAAGUUUGAUUCAAAUUGGUGAGGAAGGGAUUCAAGGGCUUGGAAACCACCGAUAUUGAAGUUCGAGUUUAUGUUUUGGGUAGGCAUUAUGUAAAGUUAGGUGAAUGCCUAGGUUAAUUACCCUAGGAUAGGAUUGAAUGGAAUUUGCAUAUGUUUGUGAUUAGUUGGGUGAAUGUUAAUUGUUAGUAAUUGUUAAGAAUUGUGAAUUUAA